CCGCCCCACCACCACCUGUGCGUUCUACCGCCGACACAGCCCACCGGCUCCCCACCCGCCCCAGGCCGCAUCAUCCGUUUCCUCCGGACCGCAGUGAACUCAGUCUUCCAGCUUCUACCCAUGCCCCUCGCAGCCAAAGGUGAGAAUACCAAGGAACAGAAAGCUUAAGUAACUUGCCAACAACUACACAGUAUUAAUUGGAAGCUAUACUUUGAAUCCAGGCAUGCUUACUCCAAGACUUGCCCUCUUAACUAUUACUUUUACUCUCUGGAACCAGAGAAGCUCUGGACUCAUGGAAAACAAGUGCAGCUUCAGGAGGUGGCUUCUGAAAUAGGUUAAUUGAAGAUAUUCCUGAGGUUGCAAGCGCAGUCUUGUAGGCCACGUGUUCCAGAUGGCCCAGCUACAAGGCAGAAGAUCCUCCACCAGCCUGCAGCCCUAAGUGAUGAUGUGAAACAGGCAUGUAGCAUGAACAAGAAGUAACCUUUGUUGUGAGGGAACAAGAAGAGAGGCAGGAGAAAGCACAACUCCCCUGUGGUUUGCCAGUCAUUGCCUUGGAGCAGGAAAGUCCCACCCCACAUGUUGCACAUGAGUGGGACAGCUAAUCGCUUGCCAAGAACCCGCCCACUGCCUCUCUGCAAUUAGUCGUGAAGUUGAAGGAACUCCAAACUCCGCAGGCGCACUCAGGGCCUCCUGCUCCUGUGGCUGCUGUUCAGGUGAGCAGAAACUUUGUUUCCUCUGGUGGCGGGACCUGGACUCCCUGUGAUGGAGACAGGUGAAGGCAGUGAGGAGUGGGCAGUAGGAAGAUGGCUAAAGGUGAAGUGGGAGUUGGGGUGGGGCAGUUCCUGGAGUGUGGUCCACACUGACUCCAUGGGUGCAGUGUGUAGUUGGGCAGCUGUUGCACCCUAAGAUUCAGUUUUCUCAUCAAUAAAGUCAGGAUGGACACUGGUCCAAGACACCCAAUAGUCUGUUUCGAGUGUGUUUCGAGGACAAGAGGCAAAGGGAAUUGGGAGCAAGCUCAGCCCUUCCCCUGCUCAAGGAAGAAGCCACUUUGGGCUCACAGGAAAUCAGAUACUCAAGAUCAGAAUAGAGAUUUGGAGUCAGGACCCCUGCAGGGUCCCAGCCCGCCAUCGCUCCCAGCCUGGUACCUGUCGUCAUAGAUAUAGGAAGUCUCUGUAGCAGCCAGAGGAGAGUCCCAGAUAAUUCAACCAAUGCCUUGAGCUCCCUCACUCUCACACCAACCAGCCAGCUCUCUCGAGGUCUCUCUCUGCUUCUCUCCCAAGUCUGUGUCUUGAGACUAUCAAUGCCUCUGCCCAUGUCAGUGUUCUGUCACUUUCUCUCUCUUUCUUGCUCUCUCUCUCUCCCACCAAAAGCUGGCUGUGGGAGCCUCUCCAAGGGAGGCCAGCAUACAGUGGCCUCCUAAAACAACCAGAACAGAUUUUAUCUGGGAGAGGAAAAUUAGGGUACCUUGCUCUUGUACUGGCUUGUGCAGGGCAACACACCCAACCUGGGGUCACAUGUUCACUCCCAAAGGAGUGGGACCAAAAACUCUAGCCCACCUUUGGCCUCAAUCCCAAGAUCUGACAAGAUGGGCCAAACUCAAAUUGUCCAAAGGAGCAGACUUGCCUACAGCAGGAUCAGGGAACCCCAGGAGGGCAAAAGUGAUGUGUGUGAGCACACAUGGGCAAAGGAAGGGACUGUUUUGGGUGUUCUGGGCAGCUUUAGAGGCUAAUUGCUCACUUGGUAGGUUAGGGCCUGAGCUAAUCUGUGGGUUCUCAAGUUAAUGGUUUGCUUAUUUAACAGAAGGUUAUUUUUAUCAUUAGGGUUUGUUAACACAUCAGAAUGGCUGUUAUUAGACCUGGCAGAGUGACGGAUGUUGGAUACUUGCCUUUGAUAUUCCUCCACAGCCUUUUCAUGCACCAAGAGCCCCAGGGAGGACACUGAUGAAAGGAUCCCUUGUUUGGGACCCAGAGCAUCCACCAUGCUGCUUCCCAUGCUGAGUACUGGCAACUCACAGCCCACACAGUUGGAGCAUGUGGCUGAGCCUCCUCAAGGCACCCUGGGAGCUCUAGAAAUACCUGUUAACCCUCCUACAGAGGUCAAGGCCCUGAGGGCCCCUGCUCCUCAAGACAGAAAUGACCUGGGAGAAGGAGCACAUUGAGCCCUUGUAGCUCAGUCACAUUAGAGACAAAGGAACUGCUCACAUUAGCCAGUUGCUGCUUCCCUGGGCUUCCUUUUUCCUCUCUCCUGAGCCACUUGACCCCAGCUUUGGCCUCAAUGUGGCCCAGGAGGCAUCACUCUGGUUCACUCAGUAUCACAUCCGGUCCCUGCCUCAGGCCCCAGGGCUGAUCACUUCAUCCUAACUUGUUAUGGGGCUCAAGGCCCCACUGGGUCACCUGCCUCAGACACCAUCUUCUUAUGCUUAGAGCUACCCUUUGCUUAGACCAGCUUUGCCCCACCAGCCCCUGUGGCUGGAGCCCUGUUGCCUGCUGAUGCUCAACCCUCCUUGUACCUGGCCCUGGCUAUCAGAGGAGCAUGGCCCUAAAUUCCUAUUGCCAAGCUCCAUGAUCUGUAGAUUCCUCCCCUGCUGAGUGGGUUCAGGAGCAUUGAGCCUGAGCUGGGUUGUGCCUGGUGUUUGCCCCUGCCUAUGGUCUCCUGGUUCCUAUGUGUGGCUAACUCCCACACAGCACUGAGAGAAGGUGGGGUGCAUGUGAUCAGGGUGAGGGACUCUCCUUACUUCCUCAUCCUGGGGUGGCUCCAAGUCCAGGUCCCCCCACAGCCCUUCUGCCUCAGUGACUCAGGCUUACUCUCUCACGUGGGAGACACCACAAAGCUGCCCUGAGUGCUUGCAAGUCUGGGCAUGUGGGUCUGUGCUUGGGGAAGGCAAAGAGAAGGCAGAACUAUGAGACUCUGAGCCCUACAUGCCAGGGCAGGCCUGGGGGGGUGCAAUGACAGAGGAUGGGCCAGCAGAGUGAAGAGAGGAGAUGGGGCAGAAUGGGAAUGCGGGACGCUGGAGAAACUUCACCCACUCAGAAAGUAGCCAAGACCUGACUCUGUGUCGUGAGCCCUGGGAAGAGAAAAGAUAAGUUCUCCAUCCUUCUUCUUCUUCCGUGACUUUCUCUACUUCCUUGUCUUCCCGUCCCCAUCCAUGGCCCUUCUUGCUAAGGAGAUGUGCUGACUCUGCUUCACUAUGGGUCUCACUGUAUCUGGGGGCUAGCCCAGGACGCUUCCUUCCAUGUGGAAAAUCGUUUCUGUACAAAAUGCAUUCUGAAUACCUAAUGGUUCCCCAAUGGGUUUCUGGAGCCCAAAUCCUGUAUAGCCAGAGCUUAUCUACACUCUUGGACAUGUGCAGCCUUGUUCCACACUGGACAGGACCCCCAGUGGGCCAUGACCAUGGCAGUCUGUUUCCCUGAUUCUUUGCUGACAGGUCCUAAUGUUCUCAGAGUGCCUUGAACCCACCAGAACUCAGGGCGCACACUUCAGUGAGUGAAGGAAAGUGACUCUACACUGCACGACCCAGGAAUUUGUAUAUUUAAUUCUCCCCCAUCCCAAGUGAUUCUAAGACACAGCUAGAGGUGGGAACGCUAAUCUUGACAACUGCUUCUUGGACUUUAGCAUGCAUCAGAAUCAUCUAGAGAGCUUGAUAAAACAUAGAUUCUUGGACCCUAUCCUCAGAGAUUCAGAUUCAGGAGAUCUGAGGUGGGGCCCAAAAAUCUGUGUUUCUAAAAAGCUCCCAGGUAAUGGAUGCUGCAAGUCCUGGACCACUUAGAGUAGCAAGGAUCUGGUCUGUGCUCUCUGCAAAGCAAGGCAGGGGAUGCUGUCUUGAGGGCUCAAGUUCCCACUUGAGAAGGGCUACAAAACUCAAGCCAAACUCAAGUGGGCCAUGUUGCCACGUGUCGAGCCUCCAGCCUGGCCCAGAUGACCAGGGCAUCAAGAGUGGUAGCUGCUUCCAUUGGCUCGUCCCUCAUUGACAGGUCGUCAUUGAUGGCAGAAACUUGGCCAAUGGCAAUCAAUCAGGGGGCCCGCGCUGCCUUAAAUACCAGCAGAGCAAACAGCCCCAGACAAUGCUGCACCAUAUAUCAAUUACCAAGAGGCUGUGUGCUUCUCUGGGCGGAGGGAGCCCGAGUGAGCGGCCAGGGCUGCUGCCCCAGCUGAUAAGGGCCUGCAUUGUUCGGGGACAGCUGGCGGCCCGAUAAGGGCCUGCUCGCCUGAGAUAAUGGCAGUGGGCAGGCGCCUCACGGCAGUUUAGAAUUUCUUGGGUCUCCAAGAAAGGUUCUAUUAAGCCCACUGACCCCAAUUGAAUAUUAAUUAGCUAAUUAACGGAUUUAUUGUUCCACGCCAUUUCUGGAGAGGCCAUUUUUUUCGAGUGCCAUUAUUUUUGUAAAUGAUUUUUCGCAUUGUGCAUAAUUGAAUCUUUGCAGCUGCCAGCAUCUUCUGCAUGAUUUGGCAAAAAAAAGGAAGCAGAAGCACUUAGGGUUUUUUUCCCCCUCUCUCUCUCUGAACAAAUGUUUUCAGCCCCUCCUGCUAAUGCUGGAGCGAGGGGGAGGGAGUGGGGCUGGCUCUGUUUCACAGGUUUGUUUUUUAAGCUGAACUGCAACGUCCGCACUCCUUUCCCUUCCUUUUGUGGGCAGCUGGGGGCCGAGGCACUCCGGGGCGGUCUGCACCAGGCCUUUGUCCAGCUGUCUUCAAACUAGCCACACUUAGCUUUACUCAGCCCAAACUCCUUAAAGCGUUAUGCGUUAUAGUAGAGGGUAGGCAGAGGGAACAAGGCCUGAGCUUGUGGCACCCAGAGCUCCCAGUGGAGGGGGGCCAGCUCUGACCAGCAGGGCAGCACCCUCUGUGAGUUUGGCCUUGGUUCCUGCCCUUAUCUACCCCAGCCCCCAGCCUGGCCUCCCCUAGCUGGAGCCUACCCUGGGUCUGGUUGCUUUGGAGGAACAGAAACCCAUCGCAGCACCUCUCUGCUGCACUUUAAUAAGUCUUUGCUCAGAAUUCCACACCAGGGCUGCCUGGCUCCCUGGAGCUGGCAUCUGCCCAUAAUAAGUUGACCUGGAAGGUCCCACAGGCAAAUGGCUGAUCGAAUCAAACCCAUUCCUCAGCACAGGGUCUGAAAUAGGAGGGUUAUGUGUGCUGGGGUGGGGCUGGCUUGGGCAGCUCAGCAAUAUUAUCAGGCGGCAUUGGGGAGCCCCCUUGGACCUCUCAGCCCCUUCAGCAUUGUUAAUGAAGCGAGGGGCAGGCAAAGGCUCCAGGAAUAUUAGUCAGGGCCCCUGGUGGGCGGGUCUAAGGAAGGUUUGUGCCCAGGACCUGCCCCUGGCCUCCAGGGGCUGCAGAACUUUAUUGGGAUUUUUUAUUAAGCCACGUCUUCCUGCCCUCAUCCCUGGCCCUAUCCUGCUGCUUGUGUGCCGAAAGAGGAAUUCUGAAGGCUUUUCUGAGCACAGAGAUGAGUCAGGAAGGAGUUCUUGCAUCCUUCUCUGCAGACACUGGCUGCAGCCAUGCCAUCUGCCCAAUUCCUGUCCUCUGGACUGGAAUAAAGUCCCAGCGGACAGACUGACAGACUGUCAUGGCCAUCCCCACUGGGUACAAAAGUGUAAGAGACCCCAAAAUUCUGGCUAAGAGCUGGAGGUGGCCCUUAGAGUUGGAGUGGGAGUGUGGGGGCUCCUUCAGCUUCUGUUUGAACACCUCCAGGAAGGGAAGCUCACGACCACUGAGGCAACUUUAAUAAUGAGAAGAGUUGGCCUUAUAUCGAGUCUGCAAACUCCUCCCUAGACCCUCCCUCCAGAGUCUCCCUCUCCCCAUGACAGGCAUUCAGCUAAUAAGAGUAAUGAUCAUAGUAGUAUCUGAUAUUAACUGAGGAACUACUGUGUGCCACACACAGCACUAGGUGCCUGUCAUGCAUCACCUCAUUUAGUCUUCCUAAUAUCCCUGUGAGGUAGGUGGGAUUUUGAGGCACAGACAUGUGAUGCAACCUAGGCAAGGUCACUAAUGAAGGUAACAGCACCAGACACCAAACCCCACUUUGCUAGACCCCCGAGCCCCCAGUUUUGACCACCCUACUCCAUAGUCAGGAAAACUGUGGCCCUGAGGCUGCCCUCCUGCAGGGUCAGCAAGCUCAGUUGCUGCAGAUGCUCACCAUCCAACAAGGUCUCACUCCUCUCUGCCAUCCUGGGCUUUAUUCCUGAGUCCAAAGCCCAGAGGUGGCCUUGUCAGGACAGAGCAGAGUGAGCCCAUUGCCUGCCACAUUUGAGACACUAUACUCUGAUAAUGCAGCCUGGUCAGCGAUAAGAUUCUUAGCAAGGGGUCAUGCCCCUCCACAACACCUCCUACCCUCCAAGAUCAGACUCAUUGUUUUCAAAAGGAGCCAAAAAGAUCAUCUUCUCCAAUCCUCUGAAUUUUGGAAGAAUUUGGCCUGAUCCUCCCCAGAAUCUGCCCAGGGACCCCUCUCUGAUCCCAGUGAGUCGACAGCUGGAGCCUUCCUCAGGGAGUUAGGGGUGGAGAGAGAGGCCUCCAGCCAAGAGGCCAGUGAAGCUGCACAGACCUGAUUCUAACCUUCCAGAUCAUUUGAGCCCUGUUCUAGGAAUUGACCCGGUCAGGAAACUCCAGUGCCAGCAGAGCACCUCCUGCUGGCUUCCCUGGGGGCCGCAAGCCAUAUUGGGUCCUUUUGGGAAAUUCCUUCCAGUUUUUUAUUUUAUAAAGAGGAGUCGGCUCAGAGAGGGGAAGAGACCUGCCCAAGGUCACCCAGCCACACUAAGGGGACAGGGCCAUGCCCUGUUCUCCUCUGCCCCUAUGAAAGGUCCACUGAAUGUUUGGUCAGAGAUCUGAGAAGGCAAAAGUCAUACUGGGCUCCGAGAACUAAGGGACCCCCUAUUAGGAACCUGGUUCUCUGGAGGGGGCACCCACUGGCCACGUCAGUCGGGCUGCCUGGAAUCCUGCCCACAUUCCCAUGGCCAAGUUCUGGGAGUUGGUAUUGCUUAAACCCCCUCCCCCUUCCCCCGUACUUCCUUAAUAUGAUGUUUUCAAGGCUCUCAACAGGAAUUGUUUCAUCAGAUGGAACAACUCAGGCUCCAGCGAGCAAACCCCUGUCCCCCCGGGAUGCCACCUCUGACGGAGCUGCAGGCAUCCUGGCAGAGUCUCACAUCCCUGACUCAGGCUCGGUGGCCUUGGGCAAGUCACAAGUCUCUGAACAUUAGUUUUUUAACUUGACCAUCAAUUUCUUAGCUGUCAAGUGAUUGAUAAUAAUAAUAAUGCUAGUCCUCAUUCCAUGGAGUUGUUGGGAAGACUGAGCAAGAAAGGGGUUUGCGCUUCCCCGUCAGGGGUACCCAGUGCAGUGCUGGGGUGAGUCAGUGCCACAGGAUAAACAUGGGCUUCUUCAAGCAACAGUUUAAGUAGAAAGGAAUUCAAAACAUAUGUUUUGAGAAGCAUAUAUUAUGGACUGGCAGGACAGUCCUGGGGGGAGGCCGUAGUGGUCAGAAGGGGUACUGGGGCUCUUGGGGUGCUGAUAACAUUCUUUUUCUUUGUGUGGGUGCUGUUGACAUAGGUGUGCUCAUUUUGAAAAGUCGUUGAGCUGAACAUUUAUGAUUUCACCACUUUUAUGUUAUAUUUAAAUUAAAAGCAUACUUCAGAAAAGAUGUAUUAUAAACUAGAAUACAAAGAUGCAUGUGGACUUUUAAGACAAAACAUGAGACUUAACCAAAGUCUUGUGUAUGUGGCAGACCACAUUCCCCCAACACUCCGUCUCCUCUGGUAAUCAGGACCCUUCAGAAGAAAAGUGCAAGCCUGACACUUGGUAUCAGUUGGUACAUGGGGGAAGGGGGGCUCCCAAUGGCUUAACUAAUGAUGGUAAAAUUGGGGGAUCUGGGCAGAUGGGUUGAGGGAAAUUCUGGGGUCUGGGGGAGCCCCCCAGAUCACAGAGGUAAGCUCCUGUUUCUCCUGUAGGCAGGACCAUCUGUGAGCAUCCAUGUACUCAUGUCCUUUCUAAGAAAGGGGAGUGUGGGAUAGGGAGCCUCAGCCCUGGGCCAGCCAAGGCCCUGUGGCAGCCUCUCCAUUGAGCCCAACUGUCUUACACAGGGUGACUCGGAUAUACUGGAGGAAAAGUAUGUUAGCUACACAGAGCCUAGGAGGGAGGGAAGGAGAGAGGGAGAAGGAGAGGCAAAGUGGAGAUGGAGCAAGAGUCACAGGGGACAGAGCAUUGAGGCGAAGGGCUUUUCAGUGGGCAAAGCUAGAUAUCAAAGAGACCAGCAUAGAGCAUCCGAAACCCUUUAUGUGCCCAAGGCAGGGAAGGCAGGUUCCUACAGCCCCAGCCAGGCCACGCCUUGGAGCCAGGGCAGGCUGCACUGCACACACUGCCUUCGUGGCUGGCUUUCAGGAGCCCAUCCUAGCUGAUAGCUCAGCCUGAGAGAAUAGUGGUUUCCAGCUUUUGCCUGCCUGCCAGUUGACCCCUUGGGGCACUGCCCUUGGGCCUCAGCUUGCCUCUGGCCCAUGCACAGUGGAACUCUCAGUUACUACCUGCUUGUACGUGGCUCCUCUCCUCGAGCAACAGGGUCAGGGAGUGGGUGAAGAUGCAGCAGCGGAUGAGAUUGAAUUCAUUGAUGCAUAUGGAGAAACUAGGUACCCCUCACCUGCAGUGCAAGGCCCUCCUUUCCAGCCCUCAGGUGAGGCAAGUGCAUGGUCUGUUGAUAUUCUCUUGAGAAGAAAAUCAGGAAAUUGGCCCUUGGACUCUUAGGCCUGGGGAUCUGUCCAUGGUCUGAAAUCCUUUCUGGGCGGUGAUACUCAGAGGCAGGCCAAGAGCCCCAGCUGCGGGUGAAGGAGAAGGUCCUGCCCCUUCUCUGAAUGCCACCCUGCCUGUCUUCCCCAGGUCUAACACAUGCUCAACCCCAGUGGAUGGAGGUGCAACCAGUUCUUCCGUGGAGGGGUUCAGCUAAGCACCCCAGAUGAAUAUAGAAAGUUGGAAGACCAUUUCAUGAGAUUUUAUGCAGCCAACAAUUUUCCUUGUACCACACCAAAGGGGUGCAAGACUUCACCUUUGGAGUCCUUUGGAGGAUGUAUUAGUAAAAUGCUUUGAGCUUCAAAUAACAGAAACUCCUGACUCAAAGGGACUUGAAGAAUAAAGACAUCAGAAGUAGCGUGGGCCCCCAUGUGUACUACCAGAUAGCUUUAUGAAGCCAUCAAGGACACAGGUGUUCCCAUUCCUCAAUUCUUUCUUCCUUGGUGUCACCUUCAUUCUAAGGCUGAUUUCCUUUGUAGUCAUAAGAUGCUUCCAGUGGCAAACAGGGCUACCUGUUUCCUUAUUCAUAAGCAAAAACAAAGAUAGAAAACCUCUCCUCCAGUCAUGGAAUAUAAGUUCUUAGUCUGAUCAUGACAACUUGGAUACCUACACACACUGGACCAAUAAUAGGUGCCGGGUACCCCUGAUUUAGACUGAUUGUGGAAUGGAGGUUGGGAGCCAACCAUUCACCACAGAGAGUGUCUCAGGGACAAGCUCCCUUGUUUCCAUGAGAGAGAGGAAGAUGGUCAGACUUAGGCUCUAGGUCAGUCUCUCAACCAGACAUGCAUUGCUUCCUCCUGGAUUUGCCUAAGAGAAACUCACCACUGCAACAAAGCUGAUUCUUACCAGAGAAAUGCAUAUUCCUCUGGUAACCCAAUUUUUCAUUUCCCUCCAAUAACUAUGACCUGGAGUUACUGUGCUAAGGAAGUAUUUGACUCAUUUCUGAUCCUGCUUUCACAGGAUCCUCUUCACAGAAAAUGCCCCCACCUGAGUCACUUGGGAUAUUGGCACCACUCUCAAUUCGUUUCUCUUUGAGCCCCAAAUGUCUUUCCUGGUAAUGGGGCUGAAGAGGUGGCCACAGUCCAUCUCAACUCAUAAGAAGUUGUUUGCCCAAUGUGAACACCUUUCCUUCAGGCAUUUUAUUCUCCAUUCUUGAAGAUGCGCUGGGAGCUGAGCAUGUGACCGUUCCUCAGGCUUCAGGGGAGAGAACCAGCCUCCAAGGGGCCUCAGUCUCAGAAUCCACAGACGUCGGGUCAGAAGGGCCCUCAGAGUUCCUCCAGGCAAGUGUUCUCAUUCUACAAAUGGGGAAACUGAGGCCCACACUGUUCAAGGAGCUAGUAGAAACCACAGAUCAAGUUGGCCCCGGGGGUCCUUCCCCUGCUCCUGCACUCUUUCUCAGCUUCGCUGCCUCCUCAGACUUCCCUUGGGGAGGGGGUGGCCCCUGGGCCAGGGUGGCCCUCCGGAGCCCAGGAACAGCGGGUCAGGUGAGGGCAGGGAGGAGGCAGCCCAGGCUGUGAUGGGCUCUCUCCCUCCCCACUCCAGCCCUGCAGGGCCGUCUGUUAGCUGGGAAGUUUGCUGCCUAAUUUCCUUAAUGCAGUUCUAAAGGUUAAUUGGUCUGAGAGAGUGAUGGGGCUCAGGAUGACUAUGUCCUCAGGCUUGCCUGUGUCUCCUCUGGCAGGGUCCAGCCUGGUCCCAGAGCUCUGAGAAACCCGGGGAAGCCAGCUGGAGAGCAGGCACCCCUGAGAGCAAAGGGGAACCCUUGCCUGUGUCUCCUCUGGCAGGGUCCAGCCCGGUCCCAGAGCUCUGAGAAACCCAGGGAAGCCAGCUGGAGAGCAGGCACCCCUGAGAGCAAAGGGGAGCCUGUGAGUCUCCUUCCAAAAGGCCUGGCCUACAGGGGCAAAUGGGGGAGAGGUUAAGAGAGCUGGAUGUGGGGAGGUCUGGGGGUCCCAGGCUGGGAUUACUGUCCCUGGGGCCUGCGGAAGGAGCACCCAGCCAGCAUAGCUCUGCAUAUACAUACCAACUUGGAAAAUCUCAGGCCAGGCCUCUAGCACAGCCCUGCAAAGGCUGACUUUCCCCUUGCUCACCUGGGCUGGCAGCAGGCCUGGCUCUCUUCCCAGCAGUCCCGGGCCCUCCAGGGGCUCUACACUUGUGCCAUCACUGGCAGGGGGGGUGAGUGGCUGGACCAUCCACACGCAGGGGAUACACCUGGCCCACAGGUAUACCCCCAAAUGAAGGAGGAUCCCAGCACUAGGAGUGUCUGUCCUGGUCCAUCUUCCAUCUGGCUUGGCUCCGGGACAGGCUGGCCUUUCAAGCUCAGGCCCCAGCAUGCCUGGCCCCUGAGGCUGCAGGGUUAUGAACUAUAGCACCAGCCAGCAAUUCCGUCCCCAGUGGGACCUGCGACCUAGACGACCCAGGGAGGCCAUGCGGAGCGAAACUAUAGGCUGCCCCAGGUCCCCUGCCCCCUGCCCGUGCCCAGGCUGGUCCUGGCACACAGCAGGUGCUCUGUAAGGCCUGGUUGCUCUGCUCUAGGGUGCUGCACUCUGCCUCCUGGAGAACUCUUAAGAAGCUACGUGGCUUCUGCCAGUGUCUCGUGUCCACUGAGACAGGGAACGCCAGGGCCAGCGUGGCUGAGGAGGUCCCAGAGCUUUGGGGACCUUAAGCUUUCUCUGUCUGGCCAGGCUGAGGUCCUGGGAGAAGUCUGACUCAGCCCUCCCUUCUUUAGGGAACACACACUGUGUUUGCUCUCACUGGGCUAGUCCCGGAGACUGGACAACACUCCUGGAAAGGUGCGGGGGUUGAAGGGGGCAUCUGUGGUCUCCUGCUCCCCAGAUGGAGCGACGUUCCCCAGAGGGUCCGGGCUUCCCCUCCCUGGCCUCCUCCCCAGCCCCACCCGCCGCCAGCCGGCCCUGCAGACACCUCUCCCCACCCUCCUCCCCUGCCUGGCUGUGGGAGCUGAGCCUCGGGGCCAUGCACUUUCCAUUAAGGAGAUAGCAUCCCUUUGCUGAAGUCCAUUUGGGAUCCAUUUUAGUGUUAUCUAAAAAUCAAAUCUACAUGGUAAUCCUUUUAAUGUACUUCUGACUUUAGAAAAAACCAGCUUUGCGCUCCUUCAGGAAAGGUUUUAAAGCAUUACCCAAUAAUUACUACUCACCCAUGAAAACACUGAUAUUCGACAACGGCUGGUGUUUGCCCCUGCGCACACGCAUGUGCCAGCUCCGCUCAGACGCACACACGGGACGGGCAAAAUAAACCAGCUCAUCAGCCCGUGUGUUCCCCUCAAAUCUUAGGGUGUGGGGGUUGACAUUUGAGGGGAGCUAGGCCAAGCCCCUACCCCGCCUCUAUGCCGGGCAGCCAACGGUGGAAGGAGGCAGCCUCGCCGUCUGACUCAUCGGCUGCCAGACUCUUACUCGCAGCUCUUUAAUCUGAGGAAAAGCCAGACAGUCCGGGCAACGAGAGGGACUGCCAGAGGUCAUUCGGCCCUUCCUGCACCCUCCCUCCAGCCAAGAGAGAGGCCCUCCUCUUCACAUGGACCCCCCCAGAGUGGUCUGCAGGGCCAGACCCAAGUUCUCAGCAACUCCUGCCCACCUGUCCCAGGCCAGGUUGCCCUCAGACCCAGCACUCAGACUUCUCCCUACUGGCCCCUGGGGCCCAGCGAUCCGAUGCCUCCAGUUUGCACAGAGGCUGAGCCUGGCGGUGCAGAACUCCCGCCGCCUCCCAGGGGACUCCUGCGAGGCCAGUCCUCCACCCCAGAAUGCCUGCCCCACCCAGCCCAGGUCACUCCAGGCUAUGCCCUGUGGCUCCCCUGCUGGCAGCCACACCACUGGCAAGUCCACCUGGCAUUUGAGGCCCCCUCUCACAUGCCAGCAUGUCCUCCUCGGCACUCCUGGAUCUGGUCCCUGCAGAAUCCUGGAAUAAUGUCCCUUUCCAUCCUGCAAAUUGAUCCUGUUUGCUUCUCUAGCAGGGCCUUCACUCCACCACUGCUCCAGGGAGAAAUGCCUUGUCCUGCCCGUCCCCACUGUCCCCAAAGGUCACAGUCACAGUGGGGUUGAAGCUAAGAGCACAGACCUUGAACUCAGAGAGCCAGCUUUCCAGUCUGGGAACUGUCCCAAGUAGCUGGAGGGCCUGGAGCAAAUCCCUUCACCUUUCUGACUUGCAUCUGUGAAAUGGGGGCCCCGAUAGUCUCUUCCCAUACAGACUGCGUGAGGGUAGACUAAGUCAUGCCUGUGAAGCCACAGCAGAGUCUAGCAGCCAGAGGGGGCCUGCAAAUAGGAACUGGUAGCAGAGUUAAGAUGCCCCCCAGCAUGUCUUCCUGGCUCUGACACUUGUUUUCUUUCUUCUUUAACUUUUUUUUUUUGAGGAAGAUUAGCCCUGAGCUAACUGCUGCCAAUCCUCCUCUUUUUCCUGAGGAAGACUGGCCCUGAGCU